CGAGGAUUGAGGGGCCGAACUCCGCGUUCCCGGGGGUAGUCUAUAAGGAAGCGAAGCCUGAGGGAAGUGGGGCGUGGGCGGUUAACCCAGAUCUGUGGCCUCUGUCGAGAAAGACCCGUGAGGAGCGAGUCUUUUUAGUCUGGCGUGGGAGGAACGACGGGGAAAUUGAAGAAUGAACAUAUCUGUCUUGGAAAAAGUACAGCCAGAAUGCUCCUUAGAAGCAAGGAUGGCAAGACUUCGUCUCACAGACUUUGGACAUGAUAUCAGGAGGGAUCAGUCCUUGGAGAUGGAUGUCAUGCUUGGUAAAGUAAGACGCUAAAUGAGAUGGGACUGACACAGUGGCUGCAACAAUGCGCUCAAGCAUAACAAUUGUGAGGAUGGGGCAGGACCGGGCAGUGACUCAUUCUUUGUACACAGGGUCACUAUGAUUCGGAACCAACUUGACAGCACUUAACAACAUAAAGAAUUAAGUAUAUAGCUUGCAUUUUAUGUGUACACAUAUAUGGGUUAUAAAAAGGAACCCGAGAAAAAAAGAAAACCCAAAAAACCAAACCCCUUGCUGUGGAGUCGAUCUAACUCAUAGUGACCCUACAGAACAGAGCAGAACUGCCCCAUAGGGUUUCCAAGGCUGUUAUCUUUACAGAAGUUGACUGCCACACCUUUCUCUGGAGGAGCAAGGAGCGGCUGGUGGGUUCGAACUGCUGACCUUUUUGGUUGGCAGAUGAGUGCUUAACCACUGCACAACCAGGGCUCCUUUGAGAAACAAUAGAGGAAUUGAAAAAACCUGCUGUCAUGUCAGGCAACCCUCUGGCCUGAGUUAAGAACAGUAGAAUUGAUGAAACAAGAAUUUGCCAGCACCAAGAUAUACUAUUUCAAGCCUAAUAAUCAUUUUAAUACUGAAAUAAUUAGCAGCAGUUUAUCACUUUUGCUUUUUAUUCCUUGGUUCAAAAUCUGUAAGGUACAGAAAUGGGGUGAUUAAUUUUUGGCACCACUUAGCCAUCCGCCUGUUGAGUGCUGAGUCGGCAUCACGUGUCACAGCUAGGACUCAGAGGUGAUUCUACAGGGGUCCCUUCCUACCCCCCACCCCCGUUUUGAUAGAUGACUCAGGAGGAAAGGCCUGCGCUGACACCCUGCCCACCAGAAACACCCAGUUUCUCCCGAGGGUCACCAUUAUAUUCUUCCUUUAUUGGCUGUCCUUGUAUAAUACAAAUCUGCAAGUUUAGAUACAAAAAAAAUCUGGAAAUAAAAGAUAGAAAAGUACCCGCCAGGCACCCCUCCCCUUUCGGCCCAGACCCCCACCCUCCAAGCGGGCACAGACGUGAGGUAACUGAGCUUUUCUUCCUCUUCCUCCACCCCACUUCCUGGGCCCCCAACUUGGCCCCUGCCCCCUAUGAGACCUUGACCCAAGAAAGAUGUGGAUGGGGGGCAAGAGGGUGGGCACAGCAUUGGCAGUGAACGCAGCAGGUGGGCAGAGGGGAGCCCUUUGCUUGUGCUGUGUAUGGGGGGAGAUGACCACGCUUGGGGGGGACACUCCCGUGGGACCCAGGGGCACCCCUAAGCAGUAUCCCUCCUCCAUCCCACCCAACACUGGAGGGUGGAAGGUUAAGAACAGAAACUGAAAAAUGUAGCUUGAACCGAGGGCUGUGGCCAUCCCUGUGUCCAGGGCGGGGGGAAAGGGGCGUUGCCAAGUUACAUCUGGCAGUGAAAUGAGUCCCUUAGCCAGGCUGGGUCCGUCCCUGAAUUCCAUCCUGUCGCAACCUGGGCGUCCCAGUGUUGGUUCCAUAGUGAUUGUGGGGUGGUAGAGAGAAGUGGUUAGAGAGGGUGUUGAGGGAUGCAGCCCCAGGGAGCGGGAGCAGGACUAGGGGAGGGGUCAUGCCUCCACUCCCAGGCGUGGGGCACCCGGAGAUGAUGGGGUAGCAGGGGCAGCUUGGGCUACAGUUCAAUCUCGAAGGUCUUCUGCAGGUCGCCAGAGAAGGGGUUGGAAGGCUUCUCUGUGGCGGACUUGCCUUCUAACGCUGCCCACUGGGCCUCGAAGGGGUCCAGCUCAGGGGCCGAGGCAGGUUCUGGCUCUGGUGGCCAGGGGGCCCCGUUGGGGCGUGGGUGGGCCUGACCCCCAGUGGCACUGGGCACAGCAGGGGGUGGGAAGGCCCCAGUUUUCCCAAGCAGGGUGGCAGGCUGGGGCUGGAGCUGAGCGGCUGAGCAGAAGGCAUUGGCCACCAUCUGCGAGGGUGUGAUACCCACCACGGGCACCCGGGGCAGGGGCGGGUAGCCCAGGCCCGGAUAGGCGGGCACGAAGGGGGGCUGCAUAUGUGGGGGUGGCAGGAACACGGCCACCUGGGCAGGUGCUGCGUCGAAGGGCCCCAUGGGGGCGGGGAAAGGCUGGAGGGUGGGUAAUAAGGUGGGCACAGGGGGCACCGGGACCCCUUGCUGCUGCUGCUGCUGCUGCUGCUGUUGCUGCUGCUGCUGGGCCUUGGCCACCUGGGACACUUCCUCCAGCCACCGCUCCGCCUCUGAAGGUGUCCGCUUGUGCCCAGGCUGGAAGGCAGCUGCGGGGGGCACGGAGGGCUCGCCCCAGGCAGAAGUCCCUGGAGAGAAGAAAGGGGCAAGCAAGGGGCAUGGAUGGUAGCGGACAGAACCCCAGCAGAGUCCCAGGACGGCACAGGGGACUGCAGCUCAGACUCUGGAGCCAGACUGGCUGCCUCUGAGGGGCUCUGCUCCUGGCGAGCUGCACUGACCUGGCAAGGGGCUUCACUGUUCUGGGCCACAGAAUGGCUUCGUACCUUGUGGUACGAAGGACACAUGGUUCUGAGGCUAUGAGGCCUUAAGAUGGAAAAGCCUAAGCAGGACUGAUGCGCAGCCAGCUUGACUUCCAGUCUGGUCAGCCAGUGCUGAGCCUGUUAUUAAGUAUGUUGAACAUCACCCUUGAUUCUAGUAUUUUGAGAACGGAUGUUUUUAGGAGAAUGCGUGGAUCGUUCUGAGUGUUCUACUGUAAUGUAAUGAGGUUCAAGGGCUUUCAGUUUGUAUUUUCUUAGAGUCUAGCAUGGUAUAUGAACAUUGUUUAAGAUUCUAAGGUGCUCCCACGGUUCUAGGACGAGCCUAGAAUUUGGUGCUGUGUUUCCCAGAGAGCGCUCUUCAAAAGCUGUGAGAUUCUAAGAUUCCAUGGUUCCAGAUAUGUUAGGCUACGGUACCCGUGGCUCUAAGGCUGUAGGUUUCUAAAUUUUAUGUUUCUAAGAAAAGAAGGUUUUAAAACUGAUCCCAUAGUUCUGGAAUGAUCUCAUGGCUCUAACGUGAUCCCCUGGCUCUUAAAUGAUCCCCUGGUUCUAAGGUGAUCCCCUGGUUCUAAGGUGUUCCCAUGGCUCUAAGGUGAUUCCCCUGGCUCUAAGGUGAUUGCCUGGCUCUAAGGUGAUCCCCUGGCUUUAAAGUGAUCCCCUGGCUCUAAGGUGAGCCUAUGGUUCUAGGAUGAUUUCAUGGCUCUAAAAUGACCUCAUGGUUCUAAGAUGAUCCCAUGACUCUAACAUGGUCCUGUGGUUCUAAACCUGUGGAUUCCAAGAUUCCUGGAGCCUUGAGGUAGCCCUGAAUGGACAAGGGGAACAUGCAGGAGGACACUGCAGUGCGUCGAACCCAGUAGAAGGGCUGGGUUUACCUGCUGUAGCUGGCGGUGGGCCUGGUGCUGGGGCCCCAGCACUGGCAAAAGAGGAGCUGAUCUGUGUGCACAGAGCAUUGAUGCCGUCACUGUCACUGGCACCUGGAGGCUCCAUCUCAGGCACUACGAAGUCAGGGAAGGGAACAGAAGGUCAGUGAACAGGCCCAGACCCUGCCCCAGCCCUGCCCCUUAUCCCUAUACCCUCCAGUGGCCCUCUCUUACAGUCUGGGGUCCUCCCCUUCACAAGAUGUAUGGGUUGGUAGGUCCACUCUGCAGCAACUGAGUAGCCACGGCCACAAAAAUGAUAACUCUGUGCACAUGUGUGUGUGACAUCUGAGUGGUACAACAGUCACGUUUAGUGUGUGACAUUCAAUGACUGACAGUGACAGGUGAAGUGGGACCCAGAACCAAAGAUCUUACAAUCUGUGUGGCCACAAGCCAGAAGGAAUACUGAAAAUGUUUCACAACAUAUAAAAACCAGAAAAAAACGCAAACCCGUUGCCAUCGAGUUGAUUCUGACUCAUAGCGGCCCUACAGGACAGAGCAGAACUGCCCCAUAGAGUUUCCAAGGAGCGGCUGGUGGAUUCGAUCUGCCGACCUUUUGGUGAGCAGCCAUUGCUCUUAACUACUAUGACACCAGGGUUUCCUAACAACACAUAAAAAAAAAAUUUUUUUUUUUUUUUUUUAGGAAUUAAAAAAUCUGUUUAAGCACAUUGUUACAGAUUGAAUUGUUUCCCUCCUCAAAAUGUGUCCUAAAUGCUAAUCCCUAACCUGUGGUUGUAAUCCCAUUUGAAAAUGGGUUUUCUUUGUUAUGUUAAUGAUACUGUAUUACUGUACAAUGUUUCUUAAAUCAAUCUCUUUUGAGGUAUAAAUGAGAUUAAACACGCAAGCAGGCAAGCAGAGAUGGGGGAAGAGAGAUGCCAUGCCACAUGAAGAUCAUCAAGGAGCCAUGGAAUAGAAGCUGAAGAGACAAGGACCUCCCCCAAGAGGUGACAGAGGGAGAGCCUUCCCUGAGAGCUGGCACCCUGAUUUCGAACUUCUAGCCACUGAACUGUGAGAAAAUAAAUCUCUAUUUGUUAAAGCCA